rnacentral:rRNA from 1 species
UUCGCCCUUAGAGUUUGAUCCUGGCUCAGAGCGAACGCUGGCGGCAGGCUUAACACAUGCAAGUCGAGCGGGCGUAGCAAUACGUCAGCGGCAGACGGGUGAGUAACGCGUGGGAACGUACCUUUUGGUUCGGAACAACACAGGGAAACUUGUGCUAAUACCGGAUAAGCCCUUACGGGGAAAGAUUUAUCGCCGAAAGAUCGGCCCGCGUCUGAUUAGCUAGUUGGUGAGGUAACGGCUCACCAAGGCGACGAUCAGUAGCUGGUCUGAGAGGAUGAUCAGCCACAUUGGGACUGAGACACGGCCCAAACUCCUACGGGAGGCAGCAGUGGGGAAUAUUGGACAAUGGGGGCAACCCUGAUCCAGCCAUGCCGCGUGAGUGAUGAAGGCCCUAGGGUUGUAAAGCUCUUUUGUGCGGGAAGAUAAUGACGGUACCGCAAGAAUAAGCCCCGGCUAACUUCGUGCCAGCAGCCGCGGUAAUACGAAGGGGGCUAGCGUUGCUCGGAAUCACUGGGCGUAAAGGGUGCGUAGGCGGAUCUUUAAGUCAGAGGUGAAAGCCUGGAGCUCAACUCCAGAACUGCCUUUGAUACUGGGGAUCUUGAGUUCGGGAGAGGUGAGUGGAACUGCGAGUGUAGAGGUGAAAUUCGUAGAUAUUCGCAAGAACACCAGUGGCGAAGGCGGCUCACUGGCCCGAUACUGACGCUGAGGCACGAAAGCGUGGGGAGCAAACAGGAUUAGAUACCCUGGUAGUCCACGCCGUAAACGAUG